CUAUCUUAUUUAUAAGAGCUUUGAUACAUGUAAAAUAUUCGAAAACAAUGUCCGAACAUAUAAUGUUCGCCCCAAAAUAUAGCAAAGACCACAAAAAUGCCAUAAAAAGUACAUUAAGGUCAAAAUUUGGAGUAGGAAAAAAAUCAAUAAGAGAAUUCCAUUUUCCUUCCCUCAUUCAUCGGAGAUCUCUCUUUGGGCAUUCCAAAAAGGUAUCACAUGCCAAGUUUGGCCUCACGGUCUAAACGUUAUAGAGUAAUACAUUUUUAACAAAAAAAAAAGAGAAAAACCGAAAAAAAGAGGGAUGCAACACGAAGACUUUUCUGGAGGUCACCCAUCCUAGUACUACUCUCCCCCAAGCACGCUUAACUGUGGUGUUCUGAUAGGAUCAAGUGCAUUAGUGCUGGUAUGAUCGCAUCAGUUACUACAUGCAAUGCAAUCAUAUAUAUUCUUUUUUGAAGACUUUAUGAUCCAUUUGCCGUAGGUCCCACCAGCUAUGUAGGAAUACCCUUUCUUGUUUAUAAGAGCUUUGAUACAUGCAAAAUAUUCGAAAACAAUGUCCGAACAUAUUAUUUUUGUCCCGUAAUAUAGCAAAGAUCACGAAAAGGCCAGGAAAAAUACAUUUCGGUCAAAAUUUGGAGUAGAAAAAAAACCCUUCCUCAUUCAUUCGACAGCUCUCUUUGAGCUUUCCGAAAAGGUAUCACAUGCCAAGUUUGGCCUCACGGUCUAAACCUUAUAGACUCAUACAUUUUUCACAAAAAAAAAGAAGAGAAAAACCAAAAAAUAGAGUGAUUAAACGCGAGGACUUUCCUGGAGGUCACCCAUCCUAGUACUACUCUCGCCCAAGCACGCUUAACUGCGAAGUUCUGAUGGGAUCUGGUGCAUUAGUGCUGGUAUGAUCGCAUCUGUUACUACAUGCAAUGAAAUCGUAUCUAUUCUUUUUUGAUG
rnacentral:sRNA from 1 species